GACGAACGCUGGCGGCGUGCUUAACACAUGCAAGUCGAGCGGUAAGGCCCUUUCGGGGGUACACGAGCGGCGAACGGGUGAGUAACACGUGGGUGACCUGCCCUCAGCUCUGGGAUAAGCCUGGGAAACUGGGUCUAAUACUGGAUAUGACUCCACGGUGCAUGUCGUGGGGUGGAAAGCCUUGUGCGGCUGAGGAUGGGCCCGCGGCCUAUCAGCUUGUUGGUGGGGUGAUGGCCUACCAAGGCGACGACGGGUAGCGGCCUGAGAGGGCGACCGGCCACACUGGGACUGAGACACGGCCCAGACUCCUACGGGAGGCAGCAGUGGGGAAUCUUGCGCAAUGGGCGAAAGCCUGACGCAGCGACGCCGCGUGAGGGAUGACGGCCUC
rnacentral:rRNA from 1 species